CCAACGAGCAGUUUUGUGAAAAAAUUCUUUCGAAGAAAAUGCGGCUCAAAUUCUUGGAUUACGAGAUACGCCCAUAAGAGCCUAACACAACUCACUGUUCCACAUUUCGGCGACAUCGGACAAUAAAUGCGCCUUUUAUGGGCCCAAAACCUUAAAUCGAGGAAUCUGUCUAUAUGACAGCUGUAUCCAAAUCUGGACCGAUCUGAUCCAAAUUGAAGAAGGAUGUCGAAGGUCCUAACACAACUCACUUUCCCAAAUUUCAGCAAAAUCGGAUAACAAAUGUGGCUUUUAUGGGUCCAAGACCCUAAAUCGGCGGAUCGGUCUAUAUGACAGCUAUAUCCAAAUCUGGACCAAUCUGGGCCAAAUUGAAGAAGGAUAUCGAAGGUCCUUACACAACUCACUGUUCCAAAAUUUCAGCAAAUUCGGAUAAUAAAUGUGGCUUUUAUGGGCCUAAGACCCUAAA